CCACCAUAGGGUCCACACGGGAGAGAAGCCCUACAAGUGCCCGGAGUGUGGAAAGUUCUUCAGAGACCGGUCCAACCUCAUCACCCACCAGAGAAUUCACACAGGAGAGAAGCCGUAUAAGUGCAGAGAGUGUGGAAAGUGCUUUAACCAGAGUUCCAGUCUCAAUAUUCACCAGAGGAUCCACACCGGGGAGAAACCCUACAAGUGCACAGAAUGUGGCAAAGACUUCAACAACAGCUCCCACUUCAGUGCCCACCGCAGAACCCAUACGGGAGGGAAAGCUCCUCCCAACUGAAGAGCAAUAAUAUGUAUCUAUACCUCCCAUGUUUCUAAAACAUGCUAAAAGAAACCUUCCUAUGUUUAAGCUUGGUGUAAACUUAAAAGAUGCCAUCUUGGUAAAACUCCAGUAAUUUGGAGAUGAAUUACAACUACUAAGGAUUGAAGUUUG
rnacentral:lncRNA from 1 species